rnacentral:rRNA from 1 species
CGGGCGCAGGAAAUUUGAGAGGAGCUGUCCUUAGUACGAGAGGACCGGGAUGGACGCACCGCUGGUGUACCAGUUGUUCUGCCAAGGGCAUCGCUGGGUAGCUAUGUGCGGACGGGAUAAGUGCUGAAAGCAUCUAAGCAUGAAGCCCCCCUCAAGAUGAGAUUUCCCAUUCCGCAAGGAAGUAAGAUCCCUGAAAGAUGAUCAGGUUGAUAGGUCUGAGGUGGAAGCGUGGUGACACGUGGAGCUGACAGAUACUAAUAGAUCGAGGACUUAACCUAU